ensembl:lncRNA
GUAAUACACAAGUGAUGGCCAUGCCAACUUGGCUGAGUGCUUGUUUUUGUUUCUUCAGUAAGUCCUUCAACUUCAGAACUUCUGGAUAGCUCAGUGGUUUAGGUAUGGUUGGGAGUUCGAUUCCCCACAUAGCCUCCUUCACAGGGCCUGGGCUCAAUGAUCCGGAGGGCCCCAGCCGGCUCUGCAAUUCCAAGAUUAUUAUCUAAGAUAUUCAUAACUGAAAGGGAAAAGAUUCAAAAUGAAUGGAUGUGUGACAUUCCUCAAAUGACAAAAAUCUGUGGUGAGUGUAAACACCUUGACAGGGAGGAAAAGGUGUACUAUGUUUAAAUUUCAAAUUUGAAGCAGAUUACUUGUUUUAGGUGGUACCGUCUACAAUGGGUCUGAGGUAAACAUUUAAAUGUGUAGAGCUGACCGAUAUAAUUUAUAGCUGUAAACAUCAACCUGACUCAUCCGCAAUGAAUCACAAAAACAAUAAAAGAGACUGUCUUUCCGCUUCUUUGCCUCCAUGAUGCCCCUUCCCUGCCUUUUUAGGAUCGGCUGCCUGGCCAAAGGGAUAAAUCAAACUAUCCUGUCUGGUAAACAACAGGUUACUUUGAUUAAGAGCAGCAAACAAUUCUGUUCUGAGUGUAUAGUAAAAGAAUGUCUUCACUAACCACAGGCUUUUCUGAUUUAGAUCACACUCCUAUAUAGGUUCACCCAGGAAUAAGCGUCAGUGAAAACUUUACAGUGCACUCCUCAGUGGUCAGAGGUUUAUGGCUUUUUCUCUCAGGAGGAUGUUGCUUUUCACGAUUGCCUGAGGCAUGGAAAUGCAGCAGUCCCCAAACACCUUGGCAGUUUCUCAGUCCUGGAGAGAGAGAGAGAGAGAGGGCUCCAUCUCAGAAUCAAGCCCCCAACCCCCACCUCCAGACCGUGGAAAUCUUUCACAUGCUCAUCACAUUCUAGCACUGGAAGAGUCCCAAGGGUCAUCUCCUCCAACCUGGUCUUGAAUUUUCAGGAUUUCACAGCUGAUGCAUUCGUUCAGGACAGAAGGCCAUCCAAUCUCUGUUUAAAAAUCUUCAAUGAAGGUGAGCCCACCACCUUCCAAGGUACUCCGUUCAGCUGUCCAACUAUCAGGACCUUCUUCUGAAGGUUUAGCUGGAAUUUCCCUUCCCCCCCCACACACACAUUUUUUCUUCCUUUGAAUGAAUUGCUCUGGUGUGGUUUGCUGGUGAUUGUUCUGCCCAGUCUCUAGGGUACAGGCCAAGGAUUGCACACAUGUCCUUUGGCAACAACAGGGGUUUCUGUGUGCUCAAGGAAAUGCUGCCUCUUUGUGCAUGUUCUGUCACUGUCAUAGAUAGAUAGAUAGAUAGAUAGAUAGAUAGAUAGAUAGAUAGAUAGAUAGAUAGAUAGAUAGAUAGAUAGAUAGAUUGAUUGAUUGAUUGAUUGAUUUGAUUGAUUGAUUGAUUGAUUGAAUUUUUAACCCGCCUUUUUCCUUUAAAAGGACCCAAGGCAGCUUACAACAAGUAAAAGACAGCAUUUAAGUUAGUAACAACAAGUAUACAAUAUUAAAAGGAUCAAUGAAUGCAGUACCAAAAAACAUAAGCCGCACCCAAACACUCUUCGGUUGCAGUGGUCCUUUGCAUGAGUGGAAACACCAAACAAGUGUCAGCGCUAUAUGAUUAAAUUUUUUUUAAUCGUAUUACUUCUGUUUUUAGUUGUACCUGGGUUUUUAAAAACUAUUUGGUAAACUGCCUCAAGUCUCUGCACUGGAAGAAAGACAGAACAGACAUGACAAGAAGUUUAAUGAAUGAUGAAUAAAUACUUAACAGCCUGAGCUGGAGGGCA